ACAAGCGUGGAGCAUGUGGUUUAAUCGAAGCAACGCGAAGAACCUUACCAGGCCUUGACAUGCAGAGAACUUUCCAGAGAUGGAUUGGUGCCUUCGGGAACUCUGACACAGGUGCUGCAUGGCUGUCGGUCAGCUCGUGUCGUGAGAUGUUGGGUUAAGUCCCGUAACGAGCGCAACCCUUGUCCUUAGUUACCAGCACGUUAUGGUGGGCACUCUAAGGAGACUGCCGGUGACAAACCGGAGGAAGGUGGGGAUGACGUCAAGUCAUCAUGGCCCUUACGGCCUGGGCUACACACGUGCUACAAUGGUCGGUACAAAGGGUUGCCAAGCCGCGAGGUGGAGCUAAUCCCAUAAAACCGAUCGUAGUCCGGAUCGCAGUCUGCAACUCGACUGCGUGAAGUCGGAAUCGCUAGUAAUCGUGAAUCAGAAUGUCACGGUGAAUACGUUCCCGGGCCUU
rnacentral:rRNA from 1 species